rnacentral:lncRNA from 1 species
CAUUACAAUCGGGUACCCAACAUCCUUCAGUAUCAUCUCCACUCCAGCAAGACACCCCAAAAGUUGCAACUGCAUAUAUGAUUUGUAGUGUUUGAUUUAGAGUUUGAUCAAUCAAAGAUUUGAUUACACUAAGCUGUAUAGCUCUUUAUGUUACCUCAUUCACAUUUCCAAGGUGUCCAAUUCUGAAAACCUUUCCUGCCACUUUGUUGAGACCAAGACCAAGACUUAGGUUGUACCUCUGCCAUGCCCUUCUCACUACCUCUGAGCCGUCUAUAUUUGGGGGCACCAUUACUGCUGUCACAGUGUUACUUAUCCACUCCUCCUUCUGUGUGCAGUUCUUCAGCCCCCAUGCUUCUACCGCCAGCCUAUGUACAUGACCAUAUUAACAAUCAAACUCUAGUUAUAAUGUUAUCAAGACUUUGUACUAUCAAGACUCUAAGAGAAUUAAACUAUUUAAGACUACGAAUUCGAUUACUCGCAUAGGAAGAUGAAAUGUUUUAUGGAUCAAAAUCGCGUUACAUAGCUAAAUUUUACCUAGUGGCCUUUCCGAGACGAGCAUGACGAGCGAUUAUAUUCUCAAGUCCUUCCUCGAAGAUAAGAUCAAGAGCGGCUCUGAGACCGUAGAGGAGUUGAAUGGAAGGUGUGUAAGGCCAAUAGGUUCCAAGCUUGUAAAACUUGAGGUAGUCAUUCCAAUCAAAGAAUACUUUGAGGGAUUUAGAGGUUUUUGUAGCUUCCAAGGCUUUAGGACUGGCACACACAAUACCAAGUCCUGUUGGUAGAGAUAAGGCUUUCUGGGAGCCGGUCAAGGCAACAUCCACUCCCCACUCAUCCAUUCGGAAAUCAAGCGCACAAAUGGACGAGACACC